UAGGGAAUCUUCCACAAUGGACGAAAGUCUGAUGGAGCAACGCCGCGUGAGUGAAGAAGGUUUUCGGAUCGUAAAACUCUGUUGUAAGGGAAGAACACGUACGAGAGUAACUGCUCGUACAUUGACGGUACCUUAUUAGAAAGCCACGGCUAACUACGUGCCAGCAGCCGCGGUAAUACGUAGGGGGCAAGCGUUGUCCGGAAUUAUUGGGCGUAAAGCGCGCGCAGGCGGUCCUUUAAGUCUGAUGUGAAAGCCCACGGCUCAACCGUGGAGGGUCAUUGGAAACUGGGGGACUUGAGUACAGAAGAGGAAAGCGGAAUUCCAAGUGUAGCGGUGAAAUGCGUAGAGAUUUGGAGGAACACCAGUGGCGAAGGCGGCUUUCUGGUCUGUAACUGACGCUGAGGCGCGAAAGCGUGGGGAGCAAACAGGAUUAGAUACCCUGGUAGUCCACGCCGUAAACGAUGAGUGCUAAGUGUUAGGGGGUUUCCGCCCCUUAGUGCUGCAGCUAACGCAUUAA
rnacentral:rRNA from 1 species